CGGGUGAGUAACGCGUGGAAAACCUGCCGUAUACUGGGGGAUAACACUUAGAAAUAGGUGCUAAUACCGCAUAAGCGCACAGCUUCGCAUGAAGUGGUGUGAAAAACUCUGGUGGUAUACGAUGGUUCCGCGUCUGAUUAGCUCGUUGGCGGGGUAAUGGCUCACCAAGGCGACGAUCAGUAGCCGGCCUGAGAGGGUGAACGGCCACAUUGGGACUGAGACACGGCCCAAACUCCUACGGAAGGCAGCAG
rnacentral:rRNA from 1 species